rnacentral:sRNA from 1 species
GCUACAACCGCACAGAACGGGUUUUUAAAGGUUUUUGCCCUGCCCAGGAUGGCGAGUCUGAGUUUAA